rnacentral:rRNA from 1 species
AUUGAACGCUGGCGGCAUGCUUUACACAUGCAAGUCGAACGGUAACAGGCCUUCGGGUGCUGACGAGUGGCGAACGGGUGAGUAAUGCAUCGGAACGUACCCAGAGGUGGGGGAUAACGCAGCGAAAGCUGUGCUAAUACCGCAUGUGAUCUGAGGAUGAAAGCGGGGGACCGAGCAGCAAUGUUUGGCCUCGCGCCUUUGGAGCGGCCGAUGUCGGAUUAGCUAGUUGGUGGGGUAAAGGCCUACCAAGGCGACGAUCCGUAGCUGGUCUGAGAGGACGAAGAACCAACAAGGGACGGGAGAGCGGCCCAAGCCUCAAGGGGGGGCGACAGGGGGGAAUUUUGGAAGAAGGGGCCAAGGCCGACGCACGCAUGGCGGGGGGGGGAAGAAGGCCUUUGGGUUAAAAAACGCUUUUGGGCGGGACGGAACGGUAUGCAGCAAAACACGGCGCUUAAGGCGGGACCCUGAAGAAAAGCACCCGACUAUACCGUGC